GACGAACGCUGGCGGCGUGCUUAACACAUGCAAGUCGAACGGAAAGGCCCUGCUUUUGUGGGGUGCUCGAGUGGCGAACGGGUGAGUAACACGUGAGUAACCUGCCCUUGACUUUGGGAUAACUUCAGGAAACUGGGGCUAAUACCGGAUAGGGGCUCCUGCUGCAUGGUGGGGGUUGGAAAGUUUCGGCGGUUGGGGAUGGACUCGCGGCUUAUCAGCUUGUUGGUGGGGUAGUGGCUUACCAAGGCUUUGACGGGUAGCCGGCCUGAGAGGGUGACCGGCCACAUUGGGCCUGAGAUACGGCCCAGACUCCUACGGGAGGCAGCAGUGGGGAAUAUUGCACAAUGGGCGGAAGCCUGAUGCAGCAACGCCGCGUGCGGGAUGACGGCCUUCGGGUUGUAAACCGCUUUCGCCUGUGACGAAGCGUGAGUGACGGUAAUGGGUAAAGAAGCACCGGCUAACUACGUG
rnacentral:rRNA from 1 species